rnacentral:rRNA from 1 species
CCUACGGGUGGCUGUAGUGAGGAAUAUUGGUCAAUGGACGAGAGUCUGAACCAGCCAAGUAGCGUGAAGGAUGACUGCCCUAUGGGUUGUAAACUUCUUUUAUAUGGGAAUAAAAUGUUCCACGUGUGGGAUUUUGUAUGUACUAUAUGAAUAAGGAUCGGCUAACUACGUGACAGCAGCCGCGGUAAUACGGAGGAUCCGAGCGUUAUCCGGAUUUAUUGGGAUUAAAGGGAGCGUAGGUGGAUUGUUAAGUCAGUUGUGAAAGUUUGCGGCUCAACCGUAAAAUUGCAGUUGAAACUGGCAGUCUUGAGUGCAGUAGAGGUGAGCGGAAUUCGUGGUGUAGCGGUGAUAUGCUUAGAUGUCACGAAGAACUCCGAUAGCGAAGGCAGUUCACUGGACUGCAACUGACACUGAGGCUCGAAAGUGUGGGUAUCGAACAGGAUUAGAUACCCCUGUAGUC